rnacentral:rRNA from 1 species
AUUGAACGCUGGCGGCAGGCCUAACACAUGCAAGUCGAGCGGAUGAAGGGAGCUUGCUCCUGGAUUCAGCGGCGGACGGGUGAGUAAUGCCUAGGAAUCUGCCUGGUAGUGGGGGAUAACGUCCGGAAACGGGCGCUAAUACCGCAUACGUCCUGAGGGAGAAAGUGGGGGAUCUUCGGACCUCACGCUAUCAGAUGAGCCUAGGUCGGAUUAGCUAGUUGGUGGGGUAAAGGCCUACCAAGGCGACGAUCCGUAACUGGUCUGAGAGGAUGAUCAGUCACACUGGAACUGAGACACGGUCCAGACUCCUACGGGAGGCAGCAGUGGGGAAUAUUAGACAAUGGGCGAAAGCCUGAUCCAGCCAUGCCGCGAGUGUGAAGAAGGUCUUCGGAUUGUAAAGCACUUUAAGUUGGGAGGAAGGGCAGUAAGUUAAUACCUUGCUGUUUUGACGUUACCAACAGAAUAAGCACCGGCUAACUUCGUG